GUGUCUUUGCUCCUCCUUCACCUUCCGCCAUGAUUGUGAGGCUUCCCCAGCCAUGUGGAAACAUAUUCGCAGAGCACCCACUAGGUGCCAGUAAAUGUAUGAGAAGUCCUGUGGAAUAAGACUGAAGUUGUCCUUGCCUUCAAGCAACUUGCAAUUGCCUAAGAACACAGUUUAAAACCACAAAACUAAGCCUUGGAAAUCACAUGCUGUCAUUUCUGCGAUCGGUCAUAACCAGUCCUGAUUCCAUGUUAGAGGAGACUACAUAAGGACACAGGUACCAGAAGAUGAAAAAUUUGGAGUCUAGUGAAAAGAAGUGACUUGCUCAAAAUCACACAGCACAUGAAGAACAGAGCCUCUAUGAUGAAUUUCUUGACAGAACUCUCUUUUGGCCUGCUGCCAUUCACGUUAGAUGUGACUUGCUCCUCCUUGCCUCCUGCCAUGAUUGUGAGGCCUCCCAAGCCAUGUGGAAC
rnacentral:lncRNA from 1 species